rnacentral:rRNA from 1 species
GAGUUUGAUCAUGGCUCAGGAUGAACGCUAGCGGCAGGCCUAAUACAUGCAAGUCGAGGGGCAGCACAGGGUAGCAAUACCUGGGUGGCGACCGGCAAACGGGUGCGGAACACGUACGUAACCUUCCUCCGAGAGGGGCAUAGCCCGGAGAAAUCCGGAUUAAUACCCCGUAAGAUUGUGGAUAGGCAUCUAUCAGCAAUAAAAACUCUGGUGCUUGGAGAUGGGCGUGCGCCUGAUUAGGUAGUUGGUGAGGUAACGGCUCACCAAGCCGACGAUCAGUAACUGGCGUGAGAGCGCGGCCAGUCACACGGGCACUGAGACACGGGCCCGACUCCUACGGGAGGCAGCAGUAAGGAAUAUUGGUCAAUGGACGCAAGUCUGAACCAGCCAUGCCGCGUGGAGGAUGAAGGUCCUCUGGAUUGUAAACUUCUUUUAUCUGGGAAGAAACGCAUUUUAUCUAAAGUGCUUGACGGUACCAGAAGAAUAAGCACCGGCUAACUCCGUGCCAGCAGCCGCGGUAAUACGGAGGGUGCAAGCGUUAUCCGGAUUCACUGGGUUUAAAGGGUGCGUAGGCGGAAUUGUAAGUCCGUGGUGAAAUCUCCGAGCUUAACUCGGAAACUGCCCUGGAUACUAUAGUUCUUGAAUAUUGUGGAGGUUAGCGGAAUAUGUCAUGUAGCGGUGAAAUGCAUAGAUAUGACAUAGAACACCAAUUGCGUAGGCAGCUGGCUACACAAAUAUUGACGCUGAUGCACGAAAGCGUGNGGAUCAAACAGGAUUAGAUACCCUGGUAGUCCACGCCCUAAACGAUGAUUACUCGACAUUUGCGAUACACAGUAAGUGUCUUAGCGAAAAGCGUAAGUAAUCCACC